UAGCUCAGUUGGUAGAGUGAUUGCCUUGCAUGCACAAGGCCCUGGGUUCAAUCCCCAG
rnacentral:tRNA from 1 species